rnacentral:rRNA from 1 species
GACGAACGCUGGCGGCGUGCCUAACACAUGCAAGUCGAGCGGGGUGAGUUCUUCGGAACGAUCCUAGCGGCGGACGGGUGAGUAACACGUGGGUAACCUGCCUCAAAGUGGGGGAUAGCCUUUCGAAAGGAAGAUUAAUACCGCAUAACCCAUAGCUUCCGCAUGGAAGCAAAUGGUAAAAGAUUUAUCGCUUUGAGAUGGAACCCGCGGCGCAUUAGCUAGUUGGUGAGGUAACGGCUCACCAAGGCCACGAUGCGUAGCCGACCUGAGAGGGUGAUCGGCCACAUUGGAACUGAGACACGGUCCAGACACCUACGGGUGGCAG